GACAGAGGGUGCAAACGUUGUUCGGAAUUACUGGGCGUAAAGCGUGCGCAGGCGGUUUUGUAAGGCAGAUGUGAAAGCCCCGGGCUCAACCUGGGAAUGGCAUUUGGGACUGCAAGGCUGGAGUUUGGCAGAGGAGACUGGAAUUCCCGGUGUAGCAGUGAAAUGCGUAGAUAUCGGGAGGAAUACCGAUGGCGAAGGCAGGUCUCUGGGCUAUAACUGACGCUCAUGCACGAAAGCGUGGGGAGCAAACAGG
rnacentral:rRNA from 1 species